CGGAGCACGCCGCGUGAGUGAUGAAGGCCUUCGGGUCGUAAAACUCUGUUAUUAGGGAAGAACAAAUGUGUAAGUAACUAUGCACGUCUUGACGGUACCUAAUCAGAAAGCCACGGCUAACUACGUGCCAGCAGCCGCGGUAAUACGUAGGUGGCAAGCGUUAUCCGGAAUUAUUGGGCGUAAAGCGCGCGUAGGCGGUUUCUUAAGUCUGAUGUGAAAGCCCACGGCUCAACCGUGGAGGGUCAUUGGAAACUGGGAAACUUGAGUGCAGGAGAGGAAAGUGGAAUUCCAUGUGUAGCGGUGAAAUGCGCAGAGAUAUGGAGGAACACCAGUGGCGAAGGCGACUUUCUGGUCUGCAACUGACGCUGAUGUGCGAAAGCGUGGGGAUCAAACAGGAUUAGAUACCCUGGUAGUCCACGCCGUAAACGAUGAGUGCUAAGUGUUAGGGGGUUUCCGCCCCUUAGUGCUGCAGCUAACGCAUUAAGCACUCCGCCUGGGGAGUACGACCGCAAGGUUGAAACUCAAAGGAAAUU
rnacentral:rRNA from 1 species